CAGUCGCCACGGUAAUACGAAGGGGGCUAGCGUUGUUCGGAAUUACUGGGCGUAAAGCGCACGUAGGCGGAUCGAUCAGUCAGGGGUGAAAUCCCAGGGCUCAACCCUGGAACUGCCUUUGAUACUGUCGAUCUGGAGUAUGGAAGAGGUGAGUGGAAUUCCGAGUGUAGAGGUGAAAUUCGUAGAUAUUCGGAGGAACACCAGUGGCGAAGGCGGCUCACUGGUCCAUUACUGACGCUGAGGUGCGAAAGCGUGGGGAGCAAACAGGAUUAGAUACCCCCGUAGUCCCUGUCUCUUAUAC
rnacentral:rRNA from 1 species